CACGUAGGGCGCAAGCGUUGUCCGGAAUUAUUGGGCGUAAAGAGCUCGUAGGCGGUCUGUUGCGUCCGCUGUGAAAACUCGGGGCUUAACCCCGAGCCUGCAGUGGAUACGGGCAGACUAGAGGUAGGUAGGGGAGAAUGGAAUUCCCGGUGUAGCGGUGAAAUGCGCAGAUAUCGGGAGGAACACCGGUGGCGAAGGCGGCAUCCUGGACCGACAUUGACGCUGAUGAGCGAAAGCUAGGGGAGCAAACGGG
rnacentral:rRNA from 1 species